rnacentral:sRNA from 1 species
UACUGAUUUCCCCGGUUCUUUGUGGUC